GAGUCUCACUCUGUUGCCCAGGCUGGAGUGCAGUAGUGUGAUCUUAGUUCACUGCAACCUCUGCCUCCUAGAUUCAAGCAAUUCUCCUGCCUCAGCCUCCUAAGUAGCUGGGAUUACAGGCAUCCGCCACCACGCCCGGCUAAUUUUUGUAUUUUUAGUAGAGACAGGGUUUCACCAUGUCAGCCAGGCGGGUCUCGAACUCCUGACCUCAAGUCAUCUGCCUGCCUUGGUCUCCCAAAGUGCUGGGAUUACAGGUGUGAGCCACAGUGCCCAACCGGGAGUCUGACUUUGUCCCCAGCAGAGACCCAGCAUCCUAGAGGUAGGUGCUGUGUGACCUUGGGCAAGGCCCUGCUCCUCUCUGUUCCUGGGGUAUAACCACCUGUCCCCCCUGCAGGGCGGUGGAGAGCACCGACUGGGAGGAGGUGCUGGGGCUGCCAGUGCUCCAGAGGAUUGGGGGGCCAAUUAGGCAGGGACAACGUGGAGGGGAAGGAGGCUGCGGGAGAACUGGGAACCCGUGGCCCAGCACCCAGCCCACAGCAGAGCCUCAAACCCUUCUCAUCAUCUUCCUAGCUCUGGGCCCCAGCUCCCUCUGUCUGAGGCCUGUGGGGCGCCAACACACACACACACACACGCGCGCGCACACACACACACACACACACGCGCGCGCACACACACACACACCCCAAAUCGCCUGCUCACCAGAGCCCCAGCUGAGCACAAUUCCUCCAGCUGGCUGCGCAGCAGAGAAGCCCCAGCUCAGCUCAGAGGGGCUGGGCUUGUUCCCUCCCUCCCCUCCCACGGCGGCUGUUCUGCAGGUGCGGCAGCUAUCGAGGCAUGACGCAGGCCACUGACUCACCACGCCAGGCUGACUCACCUCCCAGGUACCCCGGCCCUCCUCAGUGGAAGGAGGGCUUUGUGCUUGGGGCUGUACGUCAGCACAGAGCAGCACAGAGCCCCUGACGUGCCAACAACAGUAGGAGGACGUCCUGGGCUGGACACCUUUGGGGAGCCCUUUCCAGGUGUGGGGGGCAACAGUGUGGGGGAGAACCUCCCCCUGCCACCCUUCCCCCAUGCGCCCUCAUGGGUGGUCGCUGUGAGCUGGAGGGAGACAGUGAGGAGCCUGGAGGCUGGUUUUUUUGUUUUGUUUUGUUUGUUUGUUUUUGAGACAGAGUCUCAUUCUGAUGCCCAGGCUGCAGUGCAGUGGUGCGAUCUUGCGGCCUUCACCUGCUGGGCUCAAGUGAUCCUCCCAUCUCAGUCUCCCCAUGGCCCAGCUGGGACCACAGGUGUGAGUGACCACGCCUGGCUAAUUUUUAAAUUUUUUUGUAGAGACGGAGUCUCAUUAUGUUGCCCAGGCUGGUCUUGAACUGCUGGGCUCAAGUGAUCCACCCACCCCAGACUCCCAAAGUGCUGGGACUACAGGCAUGAGCUUUCGCGCCCAGCCUGAGCCCUGGAGGCUUUUGGCGGGUGGAGCAGCCCCUCCAAAGCCUUACUGGAAGGUAUUUUACUAUGGGAAACUGAGCACAGGCGGAAGCAGGGCCUGGGCGAGGCUCCCUCCGCCGCCGAGUGUGAUCGACGCUCCCUGCCUUCUGCUCCAGUGGCCUGUCUCCCCUGCAGCUUCGAGAGCGAACCCACCCCUCACAUCAUUCCCUGGCGAAGGCUGUUGUGAAUCUCUACAAAGUAAAGCCUUUGGAGGGCAUGGUCCAGCACCACUGCUGCCCCAAUCAAACUGGCGCAAAGCCCCUGUUAGGAUUCUCGGUUUUUCCCAACAGACUAAGCCGUGCCCUUUUCCAGGGGUUUUGUUUCCGCAUGGCCUUGGGUUGAUUCCCGCUGUCCUCCCUCAUUCCCCCACUUUGAGGGCACAGCCUGGGGACUGUGCGGGCCCAGCCGGCAGAGCCCCAACCUGGGGAAGCCAGCUCGCCCCAGGAGGCCUCCAUUACCAGCGUCCGCCCCCACACCCCCGAAACCGGCUGUGUCUGCCCACGCUGCCACGGCCAUCCCAGAAUCACACGUGGAUGGUUUCAUUUCCCACCUGGGCCUGGGGGCCAAGGAUGCCUAAUUCCUGGAGCAGAGAUGGGUUGAGCCUAGAGAGCCCACCUGGGCUGACGGCUCUGGAAACACAUCAGUCAUGCUGAGCUGUGGGGACCAAGGGGGUGCCGGGAGAGAACGUGGCGCCGGAAACGGAAACGUCUGUGCGGACCAAUGGGGUGCCAGGAGAGAACGCUGACUCCGGAAACGUCCGUGCGGACCAAGGGGGUGCCGAGAGAGAACUCUGACACCGGAAACGUCCAGGCUGUCUGGGGAGGUCAGCUGCUUCACAGGAAGCGUCCCUCGGUGGCCAUGACCCCAGUGGCCAUGUGGCUGGGGCCCUGGGCAGUGGCUUCGUGACCGAAAGGCCCUGAACCCACCCCGAGGCCCCACAGCUUUUUCUCCAGCUCAGACACUUUCUGGGGCUCAGUCUUGCUGCGGCCCUUGUGGCAUUUGGCAGGCAGCGGGUGGACCAUGAGUGAGUUAGGAGGCCGAACUGCCCACCUCUACAAUGGGUUCCCAGGAGAGCGAACACGGGACCCGCUCCUCCAGGCCUCACCUUCACUCUGGAAUGAGUUCAACAGCAAGGUACGGUGAGAGCUGGCGGCUUCAUUUUUGGAACCAGGGAGAGAGAGAGAGAGGUUUAUGAGAGACCUCAUGAGACAGCUCAUGACGGAAGUGAGCCUGAGCUGCAGUGAACCCUGUCACUGAAGAGACAGCCUUCACUCUGUGUCUUGCAGGGGAAAAUACAACUCUUUAUUAAAAUGUAUUGCCCUGAAAAA